UAUAUAUAAUAAUACAUACCAUUGGUUGCAACAACAAUAACACAAAAGGUGCAAGACUAAUAUUUUUACUUUUUGUACUAUCAGUUGAAGUGAAAUACAAAGAGGAGGAGUAGUAAUCGAAAAUGAAUACUUUUAAGAUAAA
rnacentral:ribozyme from 1 species